rnacentral:rRNA from 1 species
UACGUAGGGGGCUAGCGUUGUCCGGAAUCAUUGGGCGUAAAGAGCGCGUAGGCGGCCAGAUAAGUCCGGUGUGAAAGUCACAGGCUCAACCUGUGAAUGCCGCUGGAAACUGUCUGGCUAGAGUCCGGAAGGGGCGAGUGGAAUUCCUGGUGUAGCGGUGAAAUGCGCAGAUAUCAGGAGGAACACCAAUGGCGAAGGCAGCUCGCUGGGACGGUACUGACGCUGAGGCGCGAAAGCAUGGGGAGCAAACAGG